rnacentral:rRNA from 1 species
CGGUGUUCAACUGGCGUGUCCGCGGGACGUCCUGCCGGUGGGCUUAGCCCGCAAGGGCGGCCCAACUUCAAAUCCCAUCGCGGUGCUCUUCACUGAGUGUCGAGGUGGGCCGGCACGUUUACUUUGAACAAAUUAGAGUGCUUAAAGCAGGCUAAAACUUCGCCUGAAUACUGUGUGCAUGGAAUAAUGGAAUAGGACCUCGGUUCUAUUUUGUUGGUUUUCGGAACCCCGAGGUAAUGAUUAAUAGGAACGGAUGGGGGCAUUCGUAUUGCGACGUUAGAGGUGAAAUUCUUGGAUCGUCGCAAGACGGACAGAAGCGAAAGCAUUUGCCAAAAACGCUUUCAUUGAUCAAGAACGAAAGUUAGAGGUUCGAAGGCGAUCAGAUACCGCCCUAGUUCUAACCAUAAACGAUGCCAGCUAGCGAUCCGUCGACGUUCCUCCGAUGACUCGACGGGCAGCUUCCGGGAAACCAAAGCUUUUGGGUUCCGGGGGAAGUAUGGUUGCAAAGCUGAAACUUAAAGGAAUUGACGGAAGGGCACCACCAGGAGUGGAGCCUGCGGCUUAAUUUGACUCAACACGGGAAACCUCACCAGGCCCGGACACCGGAAGGAUUGACAGAUUGAGAGCUCUUUCUUGAUUCGGUGGGUGGUGGUGCAUGGCCGUUCUUAGUUGGUGGAGCGAUUUGUCUGGUUAAUUCCGAUAACGAACGAGACUCUAGCCUGCUAACUAGGCGUAUUUUCGACAUCUCAAAGGUCCGUCGUCCCGGCCCUCGGGUCGUGGGCGUGCGCGAUUUUUACUGUCGGCGUACUAUCAAUUCUUCUUAGAGGGACAGGUGGCUUCUAGCCGCACGACAUUGAGCAAUAACAGGUCUGUGAUG